UUUGGAAGGUAUAUUGUGGUAUCUGCAUUAUAAUGGUAAUGUGCAUUUUCCCAAUGACUAAUGAAACCAAAUGUCUUUUCCCACGUUUAUUUUCUGUUUGGAUGUCUUCUCUCAUGAAUUAUCUUUUGUGACAUUUGUCCAUUUUCCUAUUGAGUUCUCUCCCUUUUUAUUAUUGAUUUGAAGAACUGCUUUAUAUAUUCCAGAGAAGAGUCCUUUGUCAGAGUCAGAGAGAGAUAAGUAUUGAAACUCUCUUCCUCCAGUCUGUGGUUUAUCUUUUUCACUCUCUUAAUACUUUUGAAGAACAGGCAUCCUUAAUUUUAAUGUAGUACAAUUGAUCAAUAUUUUUCCCCUUAUGGUUAUUGCUUUCUGUGUCUUAAGAAAUCUUUGCCUGAGGCAGUUCUUGUGGCAGCAGCUAAUGCAAGGCUGGAAAAUUGUUAUGCACUGUGUUGCCUGGACCAGCAAACACUACAGUCAGGAUAGUAAAGGGGACCCCAAGAAACCAAAUGAUGAGACGUGAGAUGUCUGCUCAUGCCAUCUUUGUGGAGAAAAAUCUGAAGAUCUUGUGUAAUGCAUUUUCCAAGUACUCUGAGGUGCAAUACAUUGUGUGGGAAAGAGAAAUACAAAUUUGGUGAAAUGGCAAAUUGCACUUUGAGCAAGAAAUGGAGAAUUGAAGAUGAGUUAAGAGAGGUAAUAAAAAAAGAUCACAAUAUCCCAAAUACCCUCCAUAACCCAUCUGGCAUCUUCCUCUUCUACAUAGACCUCUGCCCAAGAUCAAAUCCACAAAUCCAGGCAUUUCCAUUGGAGAUGUGGACAAAAAGCUGGUGACAUAUUAUGGCAUGCAGAAUUAGUAAAAUGGGCACACAAAGAUAUUUUGCGCUAAUUCCUGGAAAAGGAAUUAAUUUUCAUUCCUAUAAAAGGGAUGAGACGUCACUCACUCAGGUGAUCGUGUUCUGUGACAGCAUGCCUGCAGGCUCAGUCACUUGAGUUAUGCCCAACUGUUUGGGACCCCCCUGGACUGUAUUUCGCCAAGCUCCUCUGUCCAUGGGAUUUCCCAGGCAAGAAUACUAGAAUGGGUUGCUGUGCCCUUCUCCAAGGAAUCUUCCCAAUCCAGGGAUCAAGCCUAAGUCUCCUGCAUUGCAGGCAGAUUCUUUACCACUGAGCCACAGGGGAAAUCCAUUCUAUGGCAGAGUUGGCCUUAAAAUAGAUUAUCUGGGUGGGUUGAUCUAAUCAAUGAAAACUUCCUAAGCAGGGAGUUUUCUCCAGUUGGCAGAAGGAUAAGUCAGAGAGAGAUAAAGAAUGAAGGGAAUAUAACUUGAAGAUGGAGGCCAUGUGAAAGGCAUUUAAGCAAUCUUAAAGAACUGAGACAGACCCUUGGCCAACUGCCAUCAAGAAAACAGUUCAAAUUUCUGAGUAAUUCUGAAACAAAAAGACACUUUUAUUGCCUUCAUUCUAUCAACUUAGAGAUUCAUGUGAGAGGGCCAUUAAAAUGUUUCCGGAAUUUAAAAUUAUUUGUAAUUUAUUUGUAAGGUAGUGUUAUCCAUUAGAAACCCUGAGUUAUCAACUGUAUAUACCUAGAGUCUGUAAAAAGAACAAAACAAAGUGGGCAACCUCUGUGGAUCAAGCUUGGUGUUUGUAAUGCCUCUCUAGGUGGCUUGCACGUUCUUAGUUCCUGCUGCUGCUGCUCCUGCUGCUGCUACGUCGCUUCAGUCGUGUCCGACUCUAUGCAAUCCCAUAGACGGCAGCCCAACAGGCUCCCCCAUCCCUGACCAGAGAUCAAAUCAGGCCCCGUGCAGUGUAAGCAGAGUCCUAACCACUGGACCACCAGGGAAUCCAGGCGGCACCUCUGGUAGUGAGUUCAGUGAUGAGGCCCAGCCUGUUGGUUCUGCUUCACAUUGUCCUGUUUCCUAUACAGUGACAUAACAUUCUGCUGACAUUUUAGCUAUGGAAGAGGAACAUUGGCUGGCAUGAGAAGUGUUCUGAUUAACUUUUGUUAAAUCUGGUAGUUGGAAAGCAAAUUGUAAAACUCUUCACUGUCAGAGAAGUGGAUAGUCACUGCUUCAAGGAACGUGCAUAAGCCUUCUGACUAACACCCAAUUUGCAGCA
ensembl:lncRNA